rnacentral:siRNA from 1 species
UGAACAAGCGGAUGAAUUUUAC